ensembl:lncRNA
UGGCACGCCCUCCCCGGCUUCACCUUGGGCCCGCGGCGAGGUCUCGGCCCCUGCGGCUCGCGCGCUGCCCGGGCCGGACGGCGGCGCCUGGCGGGAGCGCGCCCGGGGGGGACGGCGCAGGCGUGGAGUUUCCGGACGCAGCGUCCGUCCCGCUGACUUCCCGCGUGGGGCCCGAGUUUCCGAGCGGCUCACCCACCGCUUCCUGCCGGGUGGCUUAUUGUUCUCUUCCAGCUGCCUGGGCAGGUGGCCGCGCCCCGCUUUUCGGCGUACUUGCUCCGCGCAUUUCGCUUCCGGGGUGCUGACACCCACAGCAGCUGGGUCUUAACCCAGGCCUUUAGUUUUCACCCUUUGCGUGGUGUCACUGAAUUGCUCUGGCGGGGCUGGAACUCUUGAUACUCCUGCUCCAACUCCCAGAGUGCUUGGGAUUACAGAUAGGACUCCGUAGAGAAAAGUGGAGUGGAAAGAGAAAGCCCUGACAGCAGUUCUCUUCAGUGCCUGCCUGGCUACCUCUAUGCUUGGAGGCUGAGACACACGCCUAGAUCUUUGCAGUGAACUCUGCUUUUCUGCUGAAGCUAGAUGAAGUGACCUUCUGCUACAACCCAGAGUCCUAACUAAAAGCUGUAUGUAUACCAUGGUCACUAUUUGUUGCUUACAGUAAAUAAGCACAUUCCAUAUAGUGCCUCAGUCAGUGCUCCGGGUCUUCCCAUGAGCAGGCCCUACUUUAUGGAAAGUUGUACAGAGUCUGACUCAGAAGGGUUCUGGCACUGUCUUCAUCCUCUUGAUACCAUCUAGGAAGUCCUAAUGGUUUUGGAAAAGCAGCCUUCCAUUUUCAUUUUGCACUGAGCUCCACAACUUAUAUGGCCGGUCUUGGCUAUGAGGUACUAGCUCUAUGUGAGAAAAGGUAUUUAUUUGUUUCUUUGUUUUGUUUAACUGUCAGUAGACUUCUUAGCGUCUUUAAAACCAAAAUAGGCAUUGUAAAUGUCUAAGUAAAGGACAUAGUGUGUGCAGUGUUUCUCAACCAAAUCAGACCCUAGAAACCUUUUUCACAGCCUCUUAUGAUUUUGUGUUGAGCGGGACACAGAUUGUCUUAGUUACUUUCUUGUUGCUGAGACAAAAUACCCAACACCCACGAAUUAGAGAAAAAGUUUGUUGUAGCUCACAGUUCGUAGAGGUUUCAGUCCGUAGUCAGCUGUUUCCAAGGUAGAGCAGCCUGGCAGACAGGCAUGGCCAAGGAGAAACAGUCCAUGGCAUGGUGGGAGGAGGCAGCAGGGCCUUCCUCCUGCUUUCUCUUUUUAUUCCAUCCAGGCUGUAAGCCCAUUGGUUGGUGUUACCUAAAACCAGCGUGGGCCUUCCCUCUUCAGUAAGUCCAUCAUCCACACCCAGAACUAUGCUAAACCAAUCAGUGGACUGAUCCAGUUCCACAUGGCCAUGAUCCAGACCCUCUCAAAAGCCCCACCCAUGAGGGCAUGAGGUUUUGGGGGGACAGCUAGAUAUAAACCCUAACAGAUUAAAGCCUAAUCCUUUGGUGAUGUGGCUCUGCCUAUGUUCUGAUCUCCUGUCUAGCUCAUGAUUCCCAAAGUAUGGCUAGCAGUUUCUUCCUUCUGUGCCUUCACAUAUGCUUUGCAAUCCGCCAUGCUCAUUAAGCACUUCUGAUUCUAAUUGUCUUCUCUUUAGAUUUACCUACAAGGAAAGAAUGUGCUCCUCAGCUAAUAAAAAUAUCUUGUGUGCUUGGUAGUUAAGAUGGACAUUGUAAUUGACCUCAAUUGCCAUUCUAAUCACUCAGGACUUUUAGAAAUCCAGGAUGUUGGCCCCUGGCCAGACCUACUGAAUCAGAAUCUGCAUUUUCACAAGAUUCCUUGGUAAUACCUGCCACAAUAAAAUCUUGAGAAGCAUUACUAAGCCAAUCACAAUAGUUCCGUCAUGUGCCCUCAAAAUUGGUUCUGUAAUGGGUGUUCCUUACCCAUUUCGAACCAGUGAGACACAAUGAGAUGCCAAUGCAGAGCAAAGCCAAGCCGUCUCUCUCCUGGAUGAAAACAAAGGCACAUGUUGCCUUGGUUCCUGCUGACAGGCAUCUAACAACUGCAAGAGAAACUGCUGGGUAGCCUGGUCAAUAUUUGGUUGCCUUCCUUGUCCGAUCCUGGUUGGACCCUCCAUUGGUUGAAGGAGGGACAGAAUGGAGUGUCCUGACUCUGCUUCCUGAGGAUGCAUUUGUGUGGCCUGUUGAGCCAAGUGACUGUCACCCAGAGGCUGUACAUUGGGAUGGCCUGGGGAACAUUCAGGAUCCAUCCAUUCCUGUGGCCCACCCCUGAGAUCGUGACUUAACGGGCCUGGGGCGGAAGCCAAGACAUUGGCUUUUUUUUUUUUUUUUGUACCGGAGAUUGAACUCGGGUCCUUGCGCUUGCGCCAGGCAAACAAAACCACUGAGCUAAACCCACGGCCCCAUUGGCGUUUUUAAAAAGCUCCUCAGUGGUUAUAAUAUAUAGCUAUAAUUGAGAACCAGCAAUUUAGACAGAUCACAUCUUAGAGCAUAAUACCAUUUUCACAUUCCCCAUGCAAAUGCUCCCUUCCCACUAAGACUGUUUGUGAAAUAUAGACUCGUAACUUUGUUAUCAUUACAAAAAUAAUACAAACCCCUUAUAAAACUGUCUUGAAUUACAG